ACACAGUUUCCUUGAAACAGAAACGAAAGUGAAACUGAGCAGAGAGCAGCCCCCUUUCAGUUGCUUUGAACGCAGUUAUUAUUUGGAGAAUUUGGUGAAAACUGCAAAGCCACAUGACAGCAAGACGUUUACAGAAAGCGUGACAUAUCCGGCAUUGUUCUACACCUCUGAUAAUCACUGGUGUUGCUGUAAGGGCAACAUCAACCCUCCCUGCACAUGUGGUCAUCAGGCCUUGCGACAUACCAAAAUGCACUUUCAAAAUGAGGAAAACCAGAAACAAUACAGAAAUGAGUUUAAUUUAUUGUUUUCUAAGCUACGCUUUCACUUUGACGCACUUUCAUUUUGAUAUAUUGCAUGUUCAGUCAUAAGGGUUGCUGAUAAAUACUCGUAAUGGCCAGUGACACUGAUAAGGCUUGAACAACGGUUAAAGUGAACAGUUAUCUUCCAGUAAACAUUACAGAGCACACAUAUCUGCUGGAAAGCUGCUGUUAGGUUGUUGUGAUGUAGGCGUUAUGGCAGUGUGUCCUGGCACACUAAACCAACUAAUAAAUCAUCUUUAAAAAUGCUUCAUUGUUAGAUUUGUGUGUGCGUGCAGUGCGUGUGUUCUUCAGUUUCAUUUU